UGGGGAAUUUUGGACAAUGGGGGCAACCCUGAUCCAGCAAUGCCGCGUGAGUGAAGAAGGCCUUCGGGUUGUAAAGCUCUUUUGUCAGGGAAGAAACGGUAGUAGCGAAUAACUAUUACUAAUGACGGUACCUGAAGAAUAAGCACCGGCUAACUACGUGCCAGCAGCCGCGGUAAUACGUAGGGUGCAAGCGUUAAUCGGAAUUACUGGGCGUAAAGCGUGCGCAGGCGGUUGUGUAAGUCAGAUGUGAAAUCCCCGGGCUCAACCUGGGAAUUGCAUUUGAGACUGCACGGCUAGAGUGUGUCAGAGGGGGGUAGAAUUCCACGUGUAGCAGUGAAAUGCGUAGAUAUGUGGAGGAAUACCGAUGGCGAAGGCAGCCCCCUGGGAUAACACUGACGCUCAUGCACGAAAGCGUGGGGAGCAAACAGGAUUAGAUACCCCCGUAGUCCCUGAGCGGGCUGGCAAGG
rnacentral:rRNA from 1 species